UACAGGGGGGGCAAGCGUUGUUCGGAAUUACUGGGCGUAAAGGGUCUGUAGGUGGCCAACUAAGUCAGACGUGAAAUCCCUCAGCUUAACUGGGGAACUGCGUCUGAUACUGGAUGGCUUGAGUGUGGGAGAGGAAUGCGGAAUUCCAGGUGUAGCGGUGAAAUGCGUAGAUAUCUGGAGGAACACCGGUGGCGAAGGCGGCAUCCUGGACCAACACUGACGCUGAGGAGCGAAAGCCAGGGGAGCAAACGGG
rnacentral:rRNA from 1 species